rnacentral:tRNA from 1 species
GUGGUCGUAGCUCAGUUGGUUAGAGCAUCAGAUUGUGGUUCUGAGGGUCGGGGGUUCGAAACCCCUCGAUCACC